CUAAAAUGAAUAAAUAGUUUGGAAGAUAACCCAGCAAAGAGCACAGAGGUAGAAAAAGGUUUUAACUUGGGCUUAGGGAUUAAAAGAGGAUCUACAUAUCUGUCUUAAAGUCAUUCACAUGAUUUGCUUGCAGGGUGAAAUACUGUGCUGAAGUCAGUGUACAAACUUUCCCAAAAGUUGUGAAUAUGUGAAAUUUAUGGAAAAUGAGCUCAAUGGGAAGGAGAAGCUGAGGGAACAGGAGUGACUGUAAUCACCUGGGAAAAGCUGAAAAUGAAAAGUCACUGCAAAGGUAUUAUUGCAUGAAACUACCUACAGUCCUCAAAGGAUUAAUUUCAAAAUGCCUGGGGGAUGAGCUCUUGCAAGAGAGCUCUGUUGUGUUUCAGAAGGGUGCUGUGUUUCACCUGUGAGCUCAGGCAGGGAGGGAAGGCAGGAUGGAUCACUGUGUGCACUGCGCUUUUAUCUUCUUCCCCAGAUGGCAGCUGCUGUGAGACAGAGCUGAGCUGGAGAGACCUUUAAUCCCACCUUGCUGUUGUUGCAGCAGAGUUUCUCCAGCCUGUGGCAUCUUCAUCUGAAUUAAGUAUUAAACCCCCAGGCUUUUUUGGUUCCUUGAAUUGGCAACCUGGCAGGUAGAGGGCCUUCGAAGAGAUGGAAAUGGAGGGUUUGGGGCUGACACAACUUGAGUGGUGGUGGUAGUUCAUGCUGUUCCCAAAAUGUGUCUUGAACCUUUACGUACAGGAAACAUAACUUCACCCCUGACAGUAGCAUGUGGGAAAAUGUAGACUUACACAGUUAGUCUUUGGUUCUUCAGCCUUUGUAGUUAUGAACACUAUAAAAAGUAGAGUGUGAGAUUUGGAAAAGGGUUUUAUGUCAACAAGACCUAGGGGCCCAUAGGUGAUUAUUUGUGGUGGGUAAGCAAAAUAGUUAACUGAAUGUGUCUCUAGAUUUCCUACCCUCAAAGUGUGCAGGAAAGCUCUGCAUGUCUUUUCAAGCUGUGUUUUUUUUUUUUCCAGUUGCAGACUGGGAGACAACAGUGCAUUGUUUAACCUCAUACCUAUUUCUGGGAAGUUACAACAAAAUAGGAGCUGGGAGUAAAAGCUCUUUGAGAAGUGCAUAUUUGAUUCUGGGACAGAAAUCUGCAGUUGGGUUUGAAUUCCACAGGAGAGGCUGCUGCCACCGAUACCGCAAAAUGAGGAUCUGGAGCGUACAGAGGAGAGAGGGUGGCUGCUUCCCAGGAUUUCCUGUAUUUCAUUCCUUGCCUGUAAUUAAUUAUAGUAACAUUAUGAAAUUCUAGUCUUUGUAGUGGCUUUAUCAAAACUCCUACCAAUUCCCAGCACAGUGAAACUUUUCUUACGAAUUUAACCUCUGUAUUUGCUGUGUGAGUGGGAACCUCUGAUGCUUGCCAGUUUCUGUCCCUCUGGUGAUUUUGCAAAGUGUAAUCAUUGUAAAAUGCAAUUGCUUAAUAUGUAGCUCAUUCACUAAAACCCCAAGGAUAAGAGGCAGUGAGUAAUGCGAGUCAUUACCGGAGCAAUAGUUUCUAAAGAGAUGAAGAGUCAUGCAUCACAUAUCAAUCAAUUUAGACUUAAAUGAAGAAUUUAUAAAAAUCACUGGUCAGAUGUGAUCGAUAUCAUUCCCAGGCAAAUUAAAGUAGCUUCCCUGGAGUCAUGCACUGCUUCUGAUGUUUCUCUCACAUGGUAUUAGAAGUGCUGAAUGGUUGCAUGCUCCCUUCUGCUCUGUGUAUUGAGAUACCUGUACAGCAGCAGCUCUCCCAAGUGUUUCCAUUCAGUCGACCACUUUUCAACCACUUUGGCUGUGUUUGUAGUGAACCAUACGACCUGGAGUAGGUUGCUUUUACUUCUUCUUCUGCUGAAGAGCUUCUUGGUGCAAGGACGGAAUUUGACUGAUCAAUGUACUGCAGAUGACUGGAGUGUUAAGAUUUCCAUCAUCAUUCUGAGAGGGUAGUGGGUGGUUUAAUGGGUGAUAUGAGCCAACAUCUUAUUUUUUUCACAUGCCUUGAGAUGUCUGAGAGCCUAGACCAGCUUGGUGCUACAGCAUAGCAUGGGCAUCAAAGUUUAAUACUGGAGAAAUGAUGUGUACAUAUUGAUAAAUUAGUAAUUAUGUUUUGUUUCCAGGUUUUCCUGUGGGAAUAAAAAUUAUACGCUUCCUGAAUUGCAAUGGGAAAAACAAAACACUAAAAAGAGGGCAUGUGCUGUUGCAUGUAUGUGGAUUAGUGUAGCUCCGUCAAUGGUGGAACAGGGCUUGAACAGCAAUACACGAAUUGGGGAUAAUAGUAACAUUUCAGCUAUAAUACUUUAAGAGGUAUUAUUGUAAGUGUCAGUGAUAGUGUUAGGAAUAUGAGAUAACAUGAGAUCAAUGAGUCUAUGACCUGGCUAAUGGACUAUAGUUUUACGGUGGUGUACUGGAGAGAAAGCUUUAGAAGGGUCUGUUGUGGUAGGACAAGUGGAAAUGGUUUCAAACUAAAAGAGUAGAGAUUUACACUACAUAUAAGGAAGACUUUUUUUUUUCAGUAAGUGUGGUGAGGCACUGGCACAGGUUGCCCAGAGAGGUGGUGGAUACCUCGGCCCUGCAGACACUCAACGUCAGGCUGGAGGGGCUCUGAGCACCUGAUGUAGCUGUGGGUGUCCCUGUUCAUUACAGGGAUGUUGGACAAGGUGACCUUUUAGAGUUCUUUCCAACUCAAAUGAUUAUGUAAACUUGUGCUUAAAAAACAGACAUUUCACUGUGAAUUGAUUUGUUUUAAAAUAGGGAAUAUAGUCCAUAAGCUCUUCUACUGUGUGAGUUCCUCAUCUGAAAGUAUUCCAGGAAAUGUAACAGCAGACCAUGGAUGGAGUAAAAUUAGGAUGCUACAUUUUAGGAAAGCUAACUUCCAGUUCUUCAGGGAGUUAGUCAACAAAACACCCUGGGAAACCGUCCUCAUGGGCAAGGGUGCAGAGCAGAGCUGGCAGAUUUUUAAGGAGGCUUUCCUCAGUGCUCAAGAGCUCUCCAUCCCCAGGUGUAGCAAGUAAUAAAUGGAAGGCAAGAAACUGGCGUGGCUGAACCGGGACCUGCUGGUCAGACUGAAGAGCAAGAAGAGAAUGCACAGGCAGUGGAAACAGGGACAGGUACUGUGGGAAGAGUAUAAGGAAGCUGCUAGGCUGUGUAAGGAUCGGGUCAGGAAAGCUGAGGCCCGGCUUGAACUACACUUGGCAAGGGAUACCAAGAAGAACAAGAAAGGCUUCUACAGAUACCUCAACCAGAAAAGGAAGUCCGGGAGGGCAUACUCCUCCUAGUGAGUGACGCAGGCAGGCUGGUAGCAACAGACAAGGAGAAGACUGAGGUACUUAGCAACUUUUUUGCCUUGGUCUUCUCUGAUAAUUGCUCGUCACACAGUCCUCAAAUGUUUGGUUUGGUAGGAGAGGAUCAGGGAAGCAACAUCCCUCCCACUGUAAGUGAAGAUCAGGUUCGUGACUGCCUGAGGAACCUGAACGUCCACAAGUCUAUGGGUCACAAUGAGAUGCAUCCCAGAGUCCUGAGGGAAUUGGCUGAUAUGUUUGCCAAGCCACUCUCCAUGAUAUUUGAAAAGUUGUGGCAAUCAGGUGAAGUCUCUGGUGACUGGAAAAAAGGCAACAUUGCACCCAUUUUUAAAAGGGUAAAAAAGAUGACCCUGGAAACCACCAACCUGUCAGUCUCAUCUCUGUGCUGGGAAUGAUCAUGGAGGAGAUCCUCCUGGAAGCUAUCCUAAGGCACAUGGAAGGCAGGGAGGUGAUAUGGGAGAACCAGUGUGGCUUCACCAAGGGCAAAUCCUGCUUGACCAACCUAAUGGCCUUCUAUGAUGGUACCACUGCAUCAAUGGACAAGGGAAGAGCCACUGAUGUCAUCUAUCUGGACUUCAGAAAGGCCUUUGACACAGUACUCAAAAUCUUUCUCUCCAAAUUGAAGAGAGAUGGAUUUGAUGGGUGGGCUGUUUGGUGGACAAAGAACUGGCUGCAGGAUUGAGCCCAGAGAGUGGUGAUCAAUGGCUCAGUGUGUGGAUGGAGAUCAGUGAUGAGUGGUGUCCCACAGAGUUCAGUGCUGUGGCUGAUACUCUUCAGUAUCUUCAUCAGUGGCAUUGACAGUGGAGUCAAAUGCAUCCUCAGCAAGUUUUCUGAUGACACCAAGCUGUGGGGUACAAUCAACACCUGAGGGAUGGGAUGCCAUCCAGAGGGAGUCCAUCUCCAUCAUCUGGAGUGCUGCAUCCAUAUGUGGAGUCCUCAGUACAGGAGAGACAUGAAUCUGUUGGAGUGUGUCCAGAGGAGGGCCACAAAAAUGAUCCAAGAGAUGGAACACCUCUCCUAUGAGGACAGGCUGAGAGAGCUGGACAGUUUUGCCUGGAGAAGAGAAGGCUGUGAGGAGAACUGAGAGCGGCCUUUCAGUAUCUAAAGGGGAGCUACAGGAAAGAAGGGGACAGACUCUUUAGCAGGGUGUGUGGUGACAGAACAAGGGGAAAUGGCUUCAAGCUUGAAGAGGGGAGAUUUAGGCUACAUAUAUGGAAAAAGUCUUUUACAGUGAGGGUUGUGAGGCACUGGAACGGGUUGAUGCAGUGAUGUGGUGGAUUGCACUGUCCCUGGAGACUUUCAAGGCCAGGAUGGAUCAAGCCCUGGGCAACCUGAUCUAGCUGUGGUGUCCCUGUUCACUGCAGGGUAGUUGGAUCAGAUGGACAUUUAAAGGUCCCUUCCAACUCCAAGGAUUCUAUGAUUCUAUCUUUACAUUUACUGUCUACCAGCAGGCAUUCAUGUGUUCCUGGCCAGGAAAACAAAAUAAGUAAAACUGGAGAGCACUGGGAAGAGUUCUGCAAGAGGUAGGCACUAAGACAAUGAUUUUUACACAAUGAAUAUCACAUUGCUUUCAGACCAGUGCACAUUUUCCACUAUUAAAGCUAAGAGAUCAGGAAAAAUAUGAUGUGUAUAGCUGUAAGAUUUGUUGUCCAUCAAUGACUGCAGUGGUUGAUUGUCAUCUCUCUGUAUUUUCAGUCAACACCAACAGUGAAAUGUAGAAUCCUAUGUUUCUGUAUGUUUGUAUGCACAGGUUUAUAUAUUCUUUGUGGACAGAAGUGGUUGGCUGGUCCAUACCAACUUUUGCCUUGUGAUUGUUUCUUUUGUUUUAAUUGUUGUAUGUUGAAAUGCUGAGUUUUUUUCUUGAUUGAACUAUGUUUUGUGGUUACUUACUGGUAGUACUGUGGUACAUGCAAGAAAAACAAAAUCUACCACUUUCUUUCCUGACAUUAGUGUCUCAGCUCUGCAUUUCCCACUGGAAGACUUUGUGCUAUGUGACACCAUUGAUAGGGCAGACUCUUUAGCGGGGUCUGUUGGGAUAGAACAAGGGGAAAUGGUUUCAAGCUUAAAGAGGAGAGAUUUAGGUUAGACAUAGGGAAAUAGUCUUUUACAAUGAGAGUGGUGUGGCACUGGAAUGGAUUGUCCAGAGAUGUUGUUUGAUGCCCCAUCCCUGGAGACUUUCAAGGCCACGAGGGACCAGGCUCUGAGCAACAUGAUCUAGCUGUGCAUGUCCCUGCUUGGGAAGUUUUGCAGGGAAGUUGGACUAGAUGGCCUUUAAAGGUCUCUUCCAACUCUAAAGAUUCUAUGAUUCUUUAGGGAAGGAUGUCUUUUUCUCAGUGUCUAACUUCUACCCAUUCCUGUGGAAAGCUGAUAAGACCCAUGCACCAGUUUGAACAAGUACAGGACUGUCCUGAUUGAAUGCCUGGUUGUGCAAGAAAUAAUCCGAGGAGUCUGAAACUGAUUUGUAUCUUUUCUAACCCAAAAAGUUAUGUAUUGGUAAGCUGAGGUGAAACUUCAGUGAUAUCUAGUAGAUACAAAUCUCCACUGUAACUUUCUUUGGUUUAAGGACAGUCUUUUGUGUUUCAUUUCAGUUAGUCUCUAGGAG
ensembl:lncRNA